UACAGAGGUCCCAAGCGUUGUUCGGAUUCACUGGGCGUAAAGGGUGCGUAGGUGGUGGGGUAAGUCGGAUGUGAAAGCUCGGAGCUCAACUCCGAAAUGGCAUUGGAAACUACCCUGCUAGAGGGUCGGAGGGGGGACUGGAAUUCUCGGUGUAGUGGUGAAAUGCGUAGAGAUCGGGAGGAACACCGGUGGCGAAGGCGGCCAGCUGGCACUGACCUGACGCUGAGGCGCGAAGGCUUGGGGAGCGAACGGG
rnacentral:rRNA from 1 species